ACCAGACUCCUACGGGAGGCAGCAGUGGGGAAUAUUGCACAAUGGGGGAAACCCUGAUGCAGCGACGCCGCGUGAGUGAAGAAGUAUUUCGGUAUGUAAAGCUCUAUCAGCAGGGAAGAUAAUGACGGUACCUGACUAAGAAGCCCCGGCUAACUACGUGCCAGCAGCCGCGGUAAUACGUAGGUGGCAAGCGUUGUCCGGAAUUACUGGGUGUAAAGGGAGCGUAGACGGCAAUACAAGUCGGAAGUGAAAUACCCGGGCUUAACCUGGGAACUGCUUUGGAAACUGUAUGGCUGGAGUGCUGGAGAGGUAAGCGGAAUUCCUAGUGUAGCGGCGAAAUGCGUAGAUAUUAGGAGGAACACCAGUGGCGAAGGCGGCUUACUGGACAGUAACUGACGUUGAGGCUCGAAAGCGUGGGGAGCAAACAGGAUUAGAUACCCCAGUA
rnacentral:rRNA from 1 species